rnacentral:rRNA from 4 species
GAAUGCUGACAUAAGUAACGAUAAAGCGGGUGAAAAGCCCGCUCGCCGGAAGACCAAGGGUUCCUGUCCAACGUUAAUCGGGGCAGGGUGAGUCGACCCCUAAGGCGAGGCCGAAAGGCGUAGUCGAUGGGAAACGGGUUAAUAUUCCCGUACUUGGUGUUACUGCGAAGGGGGGACGGAGAAGGCUAUGUUGGCCGGGCGACGGUUGUCCCGGUUUAAGCGUGUAGGUGUGUGUUCCAGGUAAAUCCGGUUCACUUUAACACUGAGGCGUGACGACGAGGCACUACGGUGCUGAAGCAACAAAUGCCCUGCUUCCAGGAAAAGCCUCUAAGCAUCAGGUAACAUCAAAUCGUACCCCAAACCGACACAGGUGGUCAGGUAGAGAAUACCAAGGCGCUUGAGAGAACUCGGGUGAAGGAACUAGGCAAAAUGGUGCCGUAACUUCGGGAGAAGGCACGCUGACACGUAGGUGAAGUGAUUUACUCAUGGAGCUGAAGUCAGUCGAAGAUACCAGCUGGCUGCAACUGUUUAUUAAAAACACAGCACUGUGCAAACACGAAAGUGGACGUAUACGGUGUGACGCCUGCCCGGUGCCGGAAGGUUAAUUGAUGGGGUCAGCGCAAGCGAAGCUCCUGAUCGAAGCCCCGGUAAACGGCGGCCGUAACUAUAACGGUCCUAAGGUAGCGAAAUUCCUUGUCGGGUAAGUUCCGACCUGCACGAAUGGCGUAAUGAUGGCCAGGCUGUCUCCACCCGAGACUCAGUGAAAUUGAACUCGCUGUGAAGAUGCAGUGUACCCGCGGCAAGACGGAAAGACCCCGUGAACCUUUACUAUAGCUUGACACUGAACAUUGAGCCUUGAUGUGUAGGAUAGGUGGGAGGCUUUGAAGCGUGGACGCCAGUCUGCGUGGAGCCGACCUUGAAAUACCACCCUUUAAUGUUUGAUGUUCUAACGUGGACCCGUAAUCCGGGUUGCGGACAGUGUCUGGUGGGUAGUUUGACUGGGGCGGUCUCCUCCUAAAGAGUAACGGAGGAGCACGAAGGUUGGCUAAUCCUGGUCGGACAUCAGGAGGUUAGUGCAAUGGCAUAAGCCAGCUUGACUGCGAGCGUGACGGCGCGAGCAGGUGCGAAAGCAGGUCAUAGUGAUCCGGUGGUUCUGAAUGGAAGGGCCAUCGCUCAACGGAUAAAAGGUACUCCGGGGAUAACAGGCUGAUACCGCCCAAGAGUUCAUAUCGACGGCGGUGUUUGGCACCUCGAUGUCGGCUCAUCACAUCCUGGGGCUGAAGUAGGUCCCAAGGGUAUGGCUGUUCGCCAUUUAAAGUGGUACGCGAGCUGGGUUUAGAACGUCGUGAGACAGUUCGGUCCCUAUCUGCCGUGGGCGCUGGAGAACUGAGGGGGGCUGCUCCUAGUACGAGAGGACCGGAGUGGACGCAUCACUGGUGUUCGGGUUGUCAUGCCAAUGGCACUGCCCGGUAGCUAAAUGCGGAAGAGAUAAGUGCUGAAAGCAUCUAAGCACGAAACUUGCCCCGA